CUUCAACUCUUUGUAGCUGGUGUUGGAAAUCAGCUCCAGGUGGCGGCCCUUCUUACGCGCCUGCCGCAAGGACCUCUUGACCUUCUUCACUCGCUCCCGGAGCUGCCGGUUGCGCUUCUCCAGGGUGGCCACUUUCUGCUGCAGUUUCUUGACGUGGUCCUCCUCCUCAAACAAGGCCUUCUGCACCGAGGAGCACAUGAGCUGGAGGCAGAGACAGCGUGCAAGGAGAGGAGGGCUGCACUUAGCCUCCAGAGUUGUCUCUUCAACAAGACAGGUCUGAUCAUCUCAGUAACCUUCUUCUGGGACUCCUGUUAGACGUGUAUAUUUAAUACCAUUGGCUAAGUCGUAACAAUCAUCCAAGUCAACCGACCUCCCAGCCUGCCCACAUUGCCUCCCUGUAGGAAGUGAUUUUGCACACAGAAGCCCCUGGUGGGGUAGGGUGGAGUGUGAAGUAUCUGUUCUUGGACCACAGUUCCAUCCCUGGAGCAGCAAUUGUGAAGCAUCGUUCUCCUGUUCCAGCAUCUCUCCAAAGACGCUCAGGUCUCCGUCACAGGAUCACCAUUGAAAAAGGUGUCUGUCCCUCUGACACAUACCCAGGGGAGGAAAGAGCAAGCUUUGGAGGCACCUGGUUGACUUCACCUGGAGGGUCCAAGAAGACAUUCACCAUCCAUUCUCUCUGACGCCUGCUACCUGGAGGCUUCAUCUACGUGACAAGAACCUUGGCUUCCACAACCCCCUUCUCUAAACACAAGCGUUUUUUAAUGCUGAAUUCAAUUCUUCAGGCAGAGCUUAACUCUUUCAACCAACUGCCAAUCAGGAAAUGUUUGAAUCUGCCUCUGACCUGGAAGCCCCUGCUUUGAGAUGUCCUGCUUUCCUGGGCCGAAUCAAUGUAUUCAUUUCAUCUAUUGAUUUAUGUCUUUGCCUGCAAUGUCUGUCUCCUUAAAAUGUAUAAACCAAGCUGUAAACCACCCACUUUGGGCACAUGUUCUCAAGACUUCCUGGGGCCAUAUAAUGGGCCAUGGUUCUUAACUUAGGCAAAAUAAACCUAUAAAUUGAUUGAAACCUGUCUCAGACACUUUCCAGUUUAGAAAUAUAAUACAGACUCAUAACUUUUCCUACCUAUGUUUACUAGUAAAAUAAGCUCAUGUUACCUCUGUAGUACAAAAUUUGUUAGCAAGAAAAAUAACUUAAGGUGACGGAUACUUAAUGUCUCAUUGUCAUGAGCAAUCCAAGUAUAAUUGUUAAGAACAAUGAAUUAGAUGUAGGAAAAAUAUUCCCAUGGGAAAGGGGUCUUCCCUAUACUAGAAGGUUUUAAUAUUCUUACCAAGGAUGGAAGUUCAGGCUGAGGAAAAUGUGUACAAACAACAAUUUCAUUCUCAGGCCUAGCCAAAAAUUCUAAUAAGGAUAGAGAUACAACUUUCCCUCCCCUAUAGCUUUUUAUUAGAGACUAAAGAUAGCUGAAUCUGUUAGUAAACAUGUUCUGUGUCACAAUGAAAAAAAUUAUUCUAUGAGGAAGCACAUGCUUCUAGAAAUUAUGAUUCAUAAAUUUGUCAAUCUACAGACAGCUAGUGUAAUAGGGUUCACAACUGCUUGCUUCCUUUCACUGGAAAUUAAGAUGAUUUAGUAUAUAACUAAAAUUACCAGAAAUAAUACGGGAAACAACUCUAUAUGCAAGCAUACAAAAUAAGUAAGAUGAAUUUUCAGAAAAUCUAUAAGGUAGGAGAAUGUGUUUUGUUAAAGGCAAAAAGAGAAUAAUUUUUGUCCUAAAAUAGAAUGGCAUUGUUCCACAGUGAGAAAAAAAGUAUAGGGAAAAAAAAAACCCCGAAUGGAUAUAAGAAAACUGUAGGAUGCUUGUAAAAGUAGAAUCAUGGGAAAGGAAUUAUAUGUGUGAUCAAAUUCCUAAUAUUUGCUAAUAUUUGAAGGGAAUUAAGUUGCUUUUAAAUUCUAACAUUAAUAUCAAAAGUACGCUGAUACAAAACUAGAAUGUGGUCCUCUGUGUUAAAACAGCAAGGUUUUCUUGGAGUUCUAGUCUGCUCUUAAUAAGAUAGGGUAAAAGGUUUUUCUUUACCUUU
rnacentral:lncRNA from 1 species